rnacentral:rRNA from 1 species
UACGGAAGGGGCAAGCGUUGUUCGGAAUCAUUGGGCGUAAAGGGCGCGUAGGUGGUUCUGUAUGUCUACCGUGAAAGCGUACGGCUCAACCGUAUUUUGUCGGUAGAAACUGCAGGACUUGAGGCUGGGAGGGGCUGGUGGAAUUCCCUGUGUAGCGGUGAAAUGCGUAGAGAUGGGGGAGAACACCGGUGGCGAAAGCGCUCUGCUGGACCUUAACUGACACUGAGGGACGAAAGCUAGGGGAGCGAAUGGG